UGGUCUCAUCUGUGAAAUGGCUCAUUAAGAAAGCCCAUAUGUAGGCCAAUGCUAAAUUUGUGCACAUUCAUAUUUUCACAAAUUGGAAUCGACAGCAUCUGUGCAGUUGAGCGUUAAACCCAUAGACAGUAACAGAAAUGGACACAGCGACCCCGUUUCAACCAUAAAACUACCAGUUCCACUUAUUCAUGCAGGAGCAAAAUGCCAAGAUGUGCAACUCAGACACACGACGUCCCAGGUUGAGCCUGCUUUGGCUUGGUUUGGAACUCAUUUCAUUGGCGGCGCAGAAACCUUGACUCUUUUGAGGGAUGGACUUCUCUCUGACACUGGCACAAAGCUUGAGCUGCUCUUCUUCUGGAUGAAAGACAUCCAGGUCAUUAUUGAAGCUAAAGUGCUUUAAAUGAGCCCCAGAUUGGACCACAAGCCUUCCCUGGACCAACCUGAGCUAUCUACACUGGUUACCAUCAUGGCUAGGACAUCACGGCUUCUGUUAUGACGGUUUUGACAAGGACACUAUUUUACUCUCUCUUUCACUAGGCUAAUGCAAGCGUUUAAUGCAGUGUAUUGGGUGGUAAAAUGUGUCCCUCACUUGCUUACUCUUGGACUCCUUUUUUAUUUUAUGAUCUUGACUUAAUUGAUUUGAAUAGGGUGGUGUUCGGUUUCUCUCCAGUGUGAAUUUUCUUGUGUGUUUCCAGAUCUCUCUCUAUCAGAGAUGCAGAAACAAUGACUCUUAUCAUAAUGUGAACACUUGUUGGGUUUGACUUCAAUAUGGAUUUGAUUGCUAUCCCACUCUGAUUGCAAGAGUGAAGUUUUGGGUUGCCACAGUGGGGUAAUAUCUGUUUUAAGUGAACUUUUAGUUUUUACAUUCACAUCACUCAUGUGUCACUAUUGCUUUUAAUUGUAUUUUAACUUGAUGUAACCUGGUUCCCGUAAUGUAGCUCAUUUAACAAACAAAUUAAUACAAAGAAAGCUUUUUUCUUUGUAUUAAUUUGAAAGAUCUGACAAUUAAGGCAACCAGGUUACUUGACAUUUAAGUUAAACCAACAAAUCAUUUUAAUAUUUGCACCUGGUCAGGCCUUUCCCUCCAACCACCUUUUGUCACUUUCACGGUCCAGCACAUCCCAGAUCUGUUUGUAACACUAAAGUCACUUCACAGAAUAAAGAUUAUAAAUGGCAAUUUGAAAUUUCACUUUUUUUUUUUUAUAUUUUUAAAUCCCGUACCUGUUACACUGUGCUUUUAAUUGUUUUAACCAGACUGUUCAUUGUGUGUAUAUAAUUGUUUCCACACUGAGGACAUGUGAAAGGCCAAUCUACAGUGUUUUGGUCAUGAACUCAAAGUUUACCCUUGUUUACCCUUAUUUCCCAUGUUCCCUGAUGCUUUGAAUGAUUCAUGAGUGUUUCAAGGAGAGAGCAUGUCUUAAUCCUUCUGUGUACUUUGACUUGGAUUUUUGUAAUGGCUUUUAGAUUACAACAAGUGAUUUGUUGGUUUAAGUUGAUGUAACCUGGUUUCCUUAAUUGAGUUGAUUUAACAAGUUAAUACAAAGAAAGCUUGUGCUUUCUUUGUAUUAAUUUAAGGACCUGAUAAUUAAGGCAACCAGGUUACUUAACAUUUUAAGAUAAACCAACAAAUCCUUUUUAACUUUGCACAUGUUCAGUCCUUUCCUUAAUCCCUUUUCACA